UAUUUAUUUUUUAAAAAAAUAAUUUCUCGAUCUUCCUUUUCCAAAUAACAAUUUCUCUUCCUUUUCUCGUCCAUUCCUUUUUCCCAUCAACUCUUUGCUAAUGGUUUGUCAUGCAACAACAAGUUUCCUUCAUCUCCAUUGAAGCGAUUUCUGAUUUCUAUUUAUCUUGAAACAAAUUUCUGAGAUGCUUGUAGUAUAGGAGAAAAGUGGCUGAUUUCGAGGCUAAGGUACUUGGAAGAUCCCUACUAGAGUCGUGGAUGAAGUUUCUUUAUCAUGUAGGGAGAUGAUAUAUGUGCAGCAGUCGGAGAAGUGAAGGAAGAGACAGAAAUUGAUGCAGAAUUCAUUGAGAUAGUAGCAUUCAGGAUUAUUUGGCAAGACUUGCAGCCUACAACGAUGUAGAAUUGAGAGAGAUUCGAGAAUAAUGGGCUAAGUUUUUUAGGCUUAAUUUUUUGUUGAAAGACUAGUUAUCUUAUUAAUCGAUGUAAUGAUUAAUAGCAUUUAUCUUAAUAAAACAAUAUAACAUUUUUUUUAUAUAUCUACUCUUAUUUAACCUAUUA